UUGGUGGCUGUUAUAUGAUGACAGAGGGGGUGGUGGGAGGGACUUGGCACGAGAAAGCUUGUGACAGAAAGUGGAUGGUUUGAUCACGUCUAAAUGUGUGUGUGUGUGUGUGUGUGUGUGUGUGUAUUCUAUUUGACCAAGUAUGAUACCUAGGACUGGCAUAUAUAUAUGUAGGCUCAGUUGCCUUUACAGAAUGAUGUGGUCAGUUUUGGUUCAAAACCAAAUUUUUCACUGGUUCCAGCAUCUCAGCUUGACCACUCCCAGUGCACCGCUGUCCAGAUGUCACUCCUGUCACUCCUGCCUCAACACUCACACAAUGACAAGGAUCUGUGACAGCUGAGAGCAAUUCCAUGGAAUCCCUGCAUGCAAAAUGAGCCGGGGGAACCCUGGUGAUAGUGAUGUAAAGACUGAAUGGUACGACGGUUUACACAGCAGCUACAGGAACGGCCGGGCAUUGACUUAUGCACAACAAUAAAGCUAAACAUUAUGUACUGUAUGAGGAAACAAAAAAACGUACCGCUUUGUGUUUGCUGCCAUGCUGCUCCAACUGCCACCCAACUGGUACUGCCAAUGGCCUUCCUUCUUCAAUAUGAAUGAAAUAUCUGUGAAAUGGAAAGAGCUACCAAGACGAGCAUGCAUGCCAAGUACUGGGUCCUGGCAUAUCCAGAAUUCUGUCAUUUUUAUCGCAGAAUUGGACAAAAAUGUAUCCCUAUGAUCUGAUUCUUAUGAAGGAUGAUAAAAGGGAGAUGAUCAUUCUUCAUUUGUGAUUGCAAACUCGAAUGUAUAAAAAAAAAUUCUGUUCAUAUCCUUAUCGGAUCAUGAGAUAUUUCCGAUCGUGGGGAGAUGGAGAACCCAUAGGAAUCCCCUGAUGACAAAUCCUGCUGUGUCAUGCUAUCUUAACGCUAUCACCUACACAUGUUACAUCCCGCCCAUACGGUGGCAACGAGCCACUGGAUUCCCCCGGUGUAUGUGCAUUUGCCUGUGUGUGUGUGUGUGUGUGUGUGUGUGUGUGUGUUAGCUGUUUCGUGUCUAUGUUUACCACGGCCCCUGAUACUCUCAUGAUUCAGACCCCUCUCCCACUCACUCUAUUUUCGCUUCAUUAGGGCCAAGUCUCUAUCGUCUAGUAUUUGUAUUAGUGUCAAUUGCCAAGGCGAUUAAUUUGAGAGAUAGGAAUGGUGUAUAGUGAAUUUGGCAACACUUCGGUUGUGUGGGAUUAACUAGGCCAGGUGGAUGUAAAGGUCAUUUAAAUAUAGAGACUGUACUAUUUAAUAUAUUGGGGAAAAUAUUACAGAAUAGACAUGCUUUAAAUGGCCAGUGGAAAAUAAUUUUCACCAAACUAAUGUUUCUUAAGGUCCAGUUGCAUAAACUGGGGAUGUAGAAAGGUCCAGAUAAGCAAAUGACGUGACUGAAUGGUGAAAACAGUGUUAUAGCUUUAACUGCUAAUGAUUUAUUUAACGCUAUAAAUAAGGUUGUGAUUAUGUUGUGGUGCUUUUAGUUAACCUUUUGACUUUAAAAAUAGAGACGUGUGCAUGACCGUGUUUGUGAUUUCACAUGAAUGAAUGCUUAAAGCCAAAUAAAUGAACAUGGCUUUUUUUUUAUCCAGUAUAUUCUGAGGCUAUAAACACUCACUUCAUACAAUCAUCUGUAAACUUUCUGUUCUCAUCAUUGACUUUUAGCAGUAACAUUUAUUCGCUUCAUUAAUCACAUGAGAAAUGGCCAAAAUGAUAUACAAAAAAAAAUCCCUUUCCCUUUCUCAUCUCUCAACCUCUCUGUGUAGGCAGUUUCUCAUCCAAUGAGCUUCCUUUGAAUGUUGUACAUAAGAUCCUGUCAAUUAUUUGAAUUGAAAGAGAAUCUGCAACAAAAGUUGUUUCUGUAAAGUGUUUAGCAAAAGCAUAAAUUAUUAUGGAAAUGAUUUAUAGAAGGCUUAUGGUAGUGGAAACUCAGCAGUUUAGAAAUUGAACUGCUUCAGAGUUUAAAUCCCAGCAUUGCUACUGCUGGGUUCUUGACCAAGGCUCUUAACCUGUAAAAAAUGAAAUAUAUUAAAGUUGCUCUUGGUAAAGGUAUCUGCCAAAUGCUCUAAAGUUGUCGGGUCAUUUAAAUGAGUUGGGAAACGGAAGUCCUGGAAAUACAGCCAUUUUUUUUCCAUGCAUUGACCAGCUCGGUAUAACUCAAGCGCUGUAUUUGGUCCGGUGAAAUACUUUGCUGGAUCCAGCCAACAGUCCACAUGAUGUAAGUACACACAUACAAGGCACCUUUUGGCUA